rnacentral:rRNA from 1 species
CCAGCAGCCGCGGUAAUACGUAGGGUGCAAGCGUUGUCCGGAUUUAUUGGGCGUAAGAGCUCGUAGGCGGUCAGUCGCGUCGGAUGUGAAAACCCAGUGCUUAACACUGGGCCUGCAUUCGAUACGGGCUGACUAGAGUGUUGUAGGGGAGACUGGAACUCCUGGUGUAGCGGUGAAAUGCGCAGAUAUCAGGAAGAACACCGGUGGCGAAGGCGGGUCUCUGGGCACUACUGACGCUGAGGAGCGAAAGCGUGGGGAGCAAACAGGAUUAGAUACCCUGGGUAGUCCACGCCGUAAACGGUGGGCGCUAGGUGUGGGGGAACAUUCCACGUUCUCCGUGCCGCAGCUAACGCAUUUAAGCGCCCCGCCCUGGGGAGUACGGCCGCAAGGCUAAAACUCAAAGGAAUUUGACGGGGGCCCGCACAAGCGGCGGAGCAUGCGGCUUAAUUCGAUGCAACGCGAAAAACCUUACCUAGGCUUGACAGUUGGGGAAAUCUGGCAGGAUGCCAGGUCCGUAAGGCCCAAAACAGGUGGUGCAUGGCUGUCGUCAGCUCGUGUCGUGAGAUGUUGGGUUAAGUCCCGCAACGAGCGCAACCCUCGUCGUAUGUUGCCAGCGGAUAAUGCCGGGGACUCAUACGAGACUGCCGGGGUCAACUCGGAGGAAGGUGGGGACGACGUCAAGUCAUCAUGCCCCUUAUGUCUAGGGCUGCACGCAUGCUACAAUGGCCGGUACAGAGGGCUGCGAUACCGCGAGGUGGAGCGAAUCCCAAAAAGCCGGUCUCAGUUCGGAUUGGGGUCUGCAACUCGACCCCAUGAAGUCGGAGUCGCUAGUAAUCGCAGAUCAGCAACGCUGCGGUGAAUACGUUCCCGGGCCUUGUACACACCGCCCGUCACGUCACGAAAGUCGGCAACACCCGAAGCCGGUGGCCUAACCCUUGUGGAAGGAGCCGUCGAAGGUGGGGCUGGUGAUUGGGACGAAGUCGUAACAAGGUAGCCGAU